rnacentral:rRNA from 1 species
UACAGAGGGGGCAAGCGUUGUUCGGAAUUACUGGGCGUAAAGGGCGCGUAGGCGGCCUGUUAAGUCGAACGUGAAAUCCCCAGGCUCAACCUGGGAACUGCGUCCGAUACUGGCAGGCUUGAAUCCGGGAGAGGGAUGCGGAAUUCCAGGUGUAGCGGUGAAAUGCGUAGAUAUCUGGAGGAACACCGGUGGCGAAGGCGGCAUCCUGGACCGGUAUUGACGCUGAGGCGCGAAAGCCAGGGGGAGCAAACGGG